UGUUCUAUUGAUGAUCAAACAUAAAAUACAUCUACUGAGAUUUUAAUCAGUGUAGAAUGCAAUAUGGAGACCUGAACUGAAGAACA
rnacentral:snoRNA from 1 species